rnacentral:rRNA from 1 species
UACGUAGGUGGCAAGCGUUGUCCGGAAUUAUUGGGCGUAAAGCGCGCGCAGGCGGUCCUUUAAGUCUGAUGUGAAAGCCCACGGCUCAACCGUGGAGGGUCAUUGGAAACUGGGGGACUUGAGUGCAGAAGAGGAGAGUGGAAUUCCACGUGUAGCGGUGAAAUGCGUAGAGAUGUGGAGGAACACCAUUGGCGAAGGCGACUCUCUGGUCUGUAACUGACGCUGAGGCGCGAAAGCGUGGGGAGCAAACAGG